GACGAACCAUCCGAACGUUAUUCGGAAUCACUGGGCUUAAAGGGUGCGUAGGCGGCGCGGAAAGUUGGGUGUGAAAUCCCUCGCUUAACCGAGGAACGGCGCCCAAAACUACCGUGCUCGAGGGAGAUAGAGGUGAGCGGAACUUAGGGUGGAGCGGUGAAAUGCGUUGAUAUCCUAAGGAACACCGGUGGCGAAAGCGGCUCACUGGAUCUCUUCUGACGCUGAUGCACGAAAGCUAGGGUAGCGAACGGG
rnacentral:rRNA from 1 species